UGGGGAAUUUUGGACAAUGGGCGAAAGCCUGAUCCAGCAAUGCCGCGUGUGUGAAGAAGGCCUUCGGGUUGUAAAGCACUUUUGUCCGGAAAGAAAUCCUUGGCUCUAAUACAGUCGGGGGAUGACGGUACCGGAAGAAUAAGCACCGGCUAACUACGUGCCAGCAGCCGCGGUAAUACGUAGGGUGCAAGCGUUAAUCGGAAUUACUGGGCGUAAAGCGUGCGCAGGCGGUUUGCUAAGACCGAUGUGAAAUCCCCGGGCUCAACCUGGGAACUGCAUUGGUGACUGGCAGGCUAGAGUAUGGCAGAGGGGGGUAGAAUUCCACGUGUAGCAGUGAAAUGCGUAGAGAUGUGGAGGAAUACCGAUGGCGAAGGCAGCCCCCUGGGCCAAUACUGACGCUCAUGCACGAAAGCGUGGGGGAGCAAACAGGAUUAGAUACCCUGGUAGUCCACGCCCUAAACGAUGUCAACUAGUUGUUGGGGAUUCAUUUCCUUAGUAACGUAGCUAACGCGUGAAGUUGACCGCCUGGGGAGUACGGCCGCAAGGUUGAAACUCAAAGGAAUUGAC
rnacentral:rRNA from 1 species